rnacentral:rRNA from 1 species
UACGAAGGGGGCUAGCGUUGUUCGGAAUUACUGGGCGUAAAGGGCGCGUAGGCGGCCUGUUAAGUCGAACGUGAAAUCCCCGGGCUCAACCCGGGAACUGCGUCCGAUACUGGCAGGCUUGAAUUCGGGAGAGGGAUGCGGAAUUCCAGGUGUAGCGGUGAAAUGCGUAGAUAUCUGGAGGAACACCGGUGGCGAAGGCGGCAUCCUGGACCGAGAUUGACGCUGAUGCGCGAAAGCCAGGGGAGCAAACGGG